GCGACUUAGCACGCACCUGCAUAUACUAUGUAUAUGUACACACACACACACGAGAAACAGUAAGCACCCAAUAGUAUAGAGGAUAACGUAACACACAGGCAUAGAAAGCACCUGAAACACAAGCAGAACUGGCUGUGUUGGUGAUACGGCCACUCUGCAAUGUACCUCGUGGUGUGUCAUCCUUCCUUUCAGUCAUUUCAAGGACAAGGCUGAGGAAAACACGGUCACUGAUGCAACUUAGGCCUGGCGAGCCUCCUGAGGCACCGGAAGGACGCGCGGAACUGGUUGCAGCGGCGGCUGUUUUACACGGAUGUCCGCGUCGUUUCACUGCAGCCGGCCGCCACGCAGGCCUGGGGAAGGGUUUUGCCGGCGUACCCGGAAGGCUUCCGCCGUUUCUUCGGCGUUGGAGGGCUUGUGCAGCGGCGAGUUCUGGGAGACCGAGAUCUUCCCCGGCUCGUGAGUGUGCCCUCUUUCGUGGCAGCGAUGGCUCUGGUGGCUGGCCCGCGCAGCCCGGGGUGGGACGCAUCGCAGGUCCUGGAAGAGCCCCGACCCCGCGGAGCCGGCGCUCUCGCCUACUCUCAGCCCGGGGACCGGAAUGGCCUCGGGCGUCAGCUGGGUGUCCUCAGCCGAGGCCCCCGAACCCAGCCCGUUCGCGAGAGUCGCCCUCGGCUCCUCGGGGCGGACCCUCCUCCGCUUCUGCUUCCUAGUCCGCCGAGCGCGGCAGCCAGGAUCGCCUCUGCGGGAGCAACGAGCCGGGACGAUCUCCUGGACAAGGACCAGGAGGAGAAGAAAACAAGAAAAAAAAGUCUGGUCAUUCAAAAGAAAGAUCCAAGGAAAGGAGGAAGAAAAAGUCAUCUGAGAGAAAACACAAGAAGCACUCUGACGAUAGUGACAGCGACUCUGAUUCUGACACAGACUCCAGUGGUGCCCUGUCGCUCUCCUGCAGCGUCCUGUGCGGCCUCAGAAUGACUUUCAUCUCCUCACACUGCACGUCCUUUCUCCCGACUUUGCCUUGUGGCACAGAAUUCGGCUGCCUCCAAUGCCAGUCUCUCCUUGCACGUGGCUUGGCCUACUCGCUGCAUAGAUUGACGUGCGUACGUCUUGUAAUAAAGCUGACUUUAGUAGGAACUGGCUUAAGAGUCACCUUUUCAUGGUCAAGCAUUCCUCACCUACC
ensembl:lncRNA